rnacentral:rRNA from 1 species
UACGUAGGUGGCAAGCGUUGUCCGGAAUUAUUGGGCGUAAAGCGCGCGCAGGUGGUUCCUUAAGUCUGAUGUGAAAGCCCACGGCUCAACCGUGGAGGGUCAUUGGAAACUGGGGAACUUGAGUGCAGAAGAGGAAAGUGGAAUUCCAAGUGUAGCGGUGAAAUGCGUAGAUAUCUGGAGGAACACCGGUGGCGAAGGCGGCAUCCUGGACCGACACUGACACUGAGGAGCGAAAGCCAGGGGAGCAAACGGG